rnacentral:rRNA from 1 species
AGACGUCUACAUUAGAUACCCGGGUAGUCCCAGCCGUAAACUAUGCGCGUUAGGUGUAUCGGUGACCACGAGUUACCGAGGUGCCGAAGGGAACCGUGAAACGUGCCGCCUGGGAAGUACGGUCGCAAGGCUGAAACUUAAAGGAAUUGGCGGGGAGCACCACAACGGGUGGAGCCUGCGGUUUAAUUGGACUCAACGCCGGGAAGCUCACCGGAUAAGACAGCGGAAUGAUUGCCGGGCUGAAGACUCUGCAUGACUAGCUG